rnacentral:rRNA from 1 species
UCCUACGGGGGGCAGCAGUGGGGAAUAUUGCACAAUGGGGGAAACCCUGAUGCAGCGACGCCGCGUGGGCGACGAAGCGCUCCGGCGCGUAAAGCCCUGUCAGCAGGGAAGAACAAAGACAGUACCUGACCAAGAAGCCCCGGCUAACUACGUGCCAGCAGCCGCGGUAAUACGUAGGGGGCAAGCGUUAUCCGGAUUUACUGGGUGUAAAGGGAGCGUAGACGGCAGGGCAAGUCUGGAGUGAAAGCCCGGGGCCCAACCCCGGGACUGCUUUGGAAACUGCCAUGCUAGAGUGCCGGAGAGGG